rnacentral:SRP_RNA from 1 species
CUGCGAUAGACGGGGAGUUAGCGGUGCCCUGUAACUUGCAAUCCGCUAUAGCAAGGUUGAACGUCUUCCGAGGCUGAAGUUAUGGAAGGCUGGUUUCAAAAGCGAGCGUUGACGUUAAGGUCUUAUGCAACGGCAACCCGCGAACCGUGUCAGGAUAGGAAUAUAGCAGCACUAAACGGUAUAGUCGUGUGCCAUAAGGUUGCUUUGACCGAGCUUUAAUUUGAUUUUUCGCUUCGGUUUCGCUUAUCGGAGAAGAUUCGCAG